AUGGAAACAGAACAAUACAAAGAAAAAAUCAGACAACUUCUAGAUCCCACAAUUUACAAGAAACUGAAACAAGACCCUACUAACAAAAUCACCAGAAAAACGAACACUCUAAUCAAGAACUCCUCCAUUAACUUUGACAUACACCAACAGCUGUGCAAAUCAGAAGCCCUCCCACCCAGGCUUUACGGACUCCCCAAAAUCCACAAGGACUCCAUCCCACUCAGACCCAUUGUAAGUGCCAUUGGAUCGCCGACCUACAACCUGGCAAAAUUUCUGGCUACACAGCUACAAACCCAUAUUGGGCUCACUGCACAUUAUAUCAAGGACUCUACACACUUUAUAGAAAAGAUCAGCAACCUCAAUCUAAGCACCAAGGACAUCCUGAUCAGCUUUGAUGUGGUGUCCCUUUUUACCAAAGUCCCAGUAGCUGACACCACACUAAUCAAACAAAACUUCCCAGAAGACAUCACAGCCCUGUUUCACCAUUGCCUCACCACUAGCUACUUUCAGUGGGACACUGGAUUCUAUGAACAGAAGGAUGGAGUGGCCAUGGGGAGCCCUCUCAGUCCAGUAGUAGCAAAUUUCUAUAUGGAAUACUUUGAAAAACAGGCCCUAGAAACAGCACCAAAAAAGCCAACUGUUUGGUUCAGAUACGUUGAUGACACCUUCACAAUUUGGAGCCAUGGAGAGGAAGAACUCAGCAAGUUCCUGGACCAUCUUAACAGCAUCCACCCAAACAUCCAAUUCACCAUGGAAAAAGAAAAGGAAGGAAAACUGCCAUUUCUAGAUGUUCUGGUCAUCUGCAAACCCAAUCAACAAUUGGGCCACACAGUUUAUAGAAAACCUACACACACAGAUAGAUACCUUCAUAAAAACUCCAACCAUCACCCAAGUCAAAAAAGGAGCACAAUCAAAGCCCUGACAGACCGUGCACAAAGAAUCUGCGAACCUCACCUCCUCCAAGGUGAACUAAACCACCUAAACUGGGCUCUACAGGCCAAUGGAUACUCCACCACAGACAUCAGAAGAGCUGCAAGGCCAAGAACAAGCCAUGAGAGUCAAGACAAAGAUCCACCCAGAGGAAAGGUGUUCUUACCAUACAUCAAGGAAACCACUGACCGCAUAGGCAAACUGAUGAAUAAGCACAACCUACAAACUAUCUACAGACCCACAAAGAAAAUCCAACAAAUGCUACGGUCAGCAAAGGACAAGAGGGAUCCUCUCUCCUCUGCAGGAGUCUACCGGAUACCAUGCAGCUGUGGACAAGUAUACAUAGGGACCACCAAACGCAGCACCCAAACAAGAGUCAAAGAACAUGAAAGGCACUGCAGACUAAUUCAACCAGAGAAAUCAGCCAUAGCAGAACAUUUGAUGAACCCGCCUGGACACAGAAUAUUAUUUGAGAACACAAAAAUGCUGGACCAUUCCAACAACUAUCAUGUCAGACUACACAGAGAAGCCAAUGAAAUCCACAAGCAUGUGGACAAUUUCAACAGAAAGGAAGAAACCAUGAAAAUGAACAAAAUCUGGCUACCAGUAUUACAAAACUCCAAAAUCAAAACAGUAGAUGGGAACCAAAACUCUGAGGGCUUGAUUGACAAAGGAUGCCCCCAGGCAAGAGACAAAAACAUCUCCAAUGCUAAUUAG
rnacentral:lncRNA from 1 species